rnacentral:lncRNA from 1 species
GAAGAGGAAGAAGAAGAAGAAGAGGAGAAGGAGCUUGCUUGGAGGCUUUGGAGCAUCAUCUUCUUCCCCAUUUUCUCACCUUGGUGGCUUCGAGCUUGCGGUUGGAGCUUUGUGGAGGAUCCAACUUCAACCGUACUUGGUUUUGAGCUUGGAUUGAAGCUCCUCUUGAGGUUGGUAGCAUGUAAUCCCUACUUGAUACAUGUUUUUCUAGGUUUUACUAGAUGAAACCCUAGAUUGGGA